GAGAGUUCCGUGAGAGGGGGUGCGGGAGUACGGAAGGGGCUGGCGGUGGUCGGAAUUAGUGGGCGGAAGGCGGGCGUAGGCGGCCAUGCAGGUGAGGCGUGAAAGGCCGGGGCUCAACCUGGGAACUGCGCUUCAGACUGCACGGCUUGAGUCCGGGAGAGGGUGGUGGAAUUCCCAGUGUAGAGGGGAAAUUCGUAGAUAUUGGGAGGAACACCAGUGGCGAAGGCGGCCACCUGGCCCGGUACUGACGCUCAAGUGCGAAAGCGUGGGGAGCAAACAGGAUUAGAUACCCUAGUAGUC
rnacentral:rRNA from 1 species